rnacentral:tRNA from 2 species
UGCCCUGUAGUUUAGUGGUAGAACUGCUGACUCUGGAUCAGCUAACCAAGGUUCGAAUCCUUGUAGGGCAUCCA